UAUUUCGGAUACGGAUUUUCGGAUAUUUCGGAUUCAGUUUCGGAUCCGGAUUUUUUUGAACACCCCUAGCUGCAGCCCAAGACUCGAUACCCCGCAAGAGGAACCGUCACCAUGACAACAAGAAGAGGAAUCUGAACUGGAUCUCGAUGAGUCUAAGUGAAGCGAAACCCCGAUGUUUGGUCACACUAUGACUUGUGCAACAUGGCGAAUGGUGCAAAAAAAGCGCGUUGCCAUUAUUGUCAAAACUUUUACGCCAACGGCGCAAACUCCACUUGGAAACAACACGUCGACAAACCAUAUUUCAAGGUGUGGAAACAACAAUCGGUAGUGGUCAAGCUUCGAUGGAAAUUGAAGGCGCUACUUUGUUCGCCUACAAGUGAAGGUUUUUUCAAUAACUUUUGAUAACACCUCAAAAUACGGUUUCGGUAAUGCAUUUAAAAUUAAAAUUUAAACCGAUUGAUUUAUGACGGGAUUUUUUUUCUAGAGUCGAUGUGUUGCACACAUCAUAAAUCUGGCUGUUCAAGACAGUAUAAAAGUUACUGAAUCACAAAAAGAUGCUUUCAAAAGAAUUGGUUGAUUUAGUUAAAGGUGUACUCGAGAAUGUAGGAGUGGCAAUGGUAGAGAGUUUUACCGUGGUGUAAUGAUAAGUGUUAUUAAGAGUCAUCCGACAAUUUCUUGGACACCUUGUGUCGUUCACUCCAUAGAAUUUCAUUUUAUAGAGUUAAAAACACUAGCAUGGAUUGAUGUUGUGAUUAAAAAAGCCAAAACCAUAUCAAGAUUUAUGUAUAGCCACCCAACUAUACUAGAGUUCGUAAAGGAGAACACAAAUGCAACCGAUUUUGUGAUGUAGGGACCCACAAACAUCUCUACAGACUUUUUUGCAUUGAAACAAAUGCUUACCCUUAGGGAGAAGCUCAAAUCAACUGUUAAAACCUUUACAGGGGUGGAUAAUAUAGAUUGUAAAUCUGAUAAUGGUGUUGCUACAAAAGCUGCCAUUCUAAAUGAGUCUUUUUGGGUGGAAAUUACUGCGAUUGUCUCGAUCACAUAACUGUUUUUGAAUAUCUACAAUCUCCUACAAAAAGAUACAAAUCUAGGACAAAUCGGUGCAGCCAUUUACAUGGCCAAGAAAGAAAUGAAAAAAGCUAAAAACCAUAUCAGUUUGUGGAAUAUGAUAGAUGAUGCGUUCACAUAACUCAAACUGUAUACACCAACACUUUAUAUGAGCAAGGAUUUUUAGAAAUGCGACGGAUUCAGUCCAGACCUAUGUUAUGUCACAGUUUGUAGCUUAUAAGAAAAGAGGUGGUGCCUUUGGAUCUGUUUUGGCAAAGAAAUCCACCCUCAACGCAGGAAUUAGAUCGAGAUAUAACAAAAAUUGAGAAUCAAGUAGAAGAUGGGAAAAGCGAUGGUUGUUCUCUUUUAUUACACGAGUAUUUGUCUGAGGGUCAGAACAUUGAAAGAUCCAUUAUUGUGUCUAUUUUUUGCAAGGGUAUAUCACUUGUCCUUGACAACUCCAGUGAUUGUAAGAUCCAAUCAGAUCAACAAUUGAUUGAUUUAGUUAAAGGUGAGAAUGUAGGAGUAUAAGUGUUUUUCAGAUUUUCUCUAAUGGUGAAGAGUUUUACUGUGGUGUAA